AAUCAACGCUGGCGGCGUGCCUCAGACAUGCAAGUCGAACGCGAAAGGCCCCUUCGGGGGCCCGGUAGAGUGGCGCACGGGUGAGUAACACGUAGGUAAUUUGCCUUCGGGUGGGGAAGUAACAGCCGGAACGGCUGCUAAUACCGCAUAAUGCAGCGGCUCGACAUCGAGACAGUUGUUAAAGCGGGGGAUCGCAAGACCUCGCGCCUGAAGAGAAGCCUGCGGCAGAUAGCUUGUUGGUGAGGUAAUGCUCACCAAGGCGACGAUCUGUAACCGGCCUGAGAGGGCGGUCGGUCACACUGACACUGACAUACGGGUCAGACUCCUACGGGAGGCAGCAGUCGGGAAUUUUGGGCAAUGGGCGAAAGCCUGACCCAGCAACGCCGCGUGAAGGA
rnacentral:rRNA from 1 species